ACAGAGUCCCUCGGGUAUGACGUGAGGUACCCACCUACAGAGUCCCUCGGGUAUGACGUGAGGUACCCACCUACAGAGUCCCUCGGGUAUGACGUGAGGUACACACCUAGAGUCCCUCGGGUAUGACGUGAGGUACCCACCUACAGAGUCCCUCGGGUAUUAGUUCCAGGUUGUUGUUAGCAGCCAUGAACUCCUGCAGACUGGAUAACUUCCCCACGCCAGACGGAACUCCAUCAAAGUCCAGCUUGUUACUGUUCACAUAAAGCUUCUUCAACCUCCCCAGCUUACAGAUAGCAGACUGGAGAGAGACAGAGACAGGGGGUGAGACAAAGGGCGCAGUUUAAGUCCAAACCUGUGACGUCUACGUCAACGAACGAGCAGUGUUGUUGGACCCAUCUGCAGCCC
ensembl:lncRNA